rnacentral:rRNA from 1 species
GACGAACGCUGGCGGCGUGCUUAACACAUGCAAGUCGAACGGAAAGGCCCUGCUUUUGUGGGGUGCUCGAGUGGCGAACGCGCGAGUAACACGUGAGUAACCUGCCCUUGACUUUGGGGUAACUUCAGGAAACUGGGGCUAAUACCGGAUAGGAGCUCUUGCUGCAUGGUGGGGGUUGGAAAGUUUCGGCGGUUGGGGAUGGACUCGCGGCUUAUCCGCUUGUUGGUGGGGUAGUGGCUUACCAAGGUUUUGACGGGUAGCCGGCCUGAGAGGGUGACCGGCCACAUGGGGACUAAGAUACGGCCCAGACUCCAACGGGAGGCAGCGGGGGGGAAUAUUACACAAUGGGCUGGAGCCUGAUGCAGCAGCGCCGCGUGCGGGAUAACCGCCUUCGGGUUAUAAACCGCUUUCGCCUGUGACGAAGCGGUAGUGACGGUAAUGGGUAAAGAAGCACCGGCUAACUACGUG